rnacentral:tRNA from 1 species
GCCUGGGUGGCUCAGUUGGUUAAGCGUCUGACUUCAGCUCAGCUCAUAAUCUUGUAGUCUGUGGGUUCAAGCCCCACGUUGGGCU